rnacentral:rRNA from 1 species
UGGGGAAUAUUGGACAAUGGGCGAAAGCCUGAUCCAGCAAUGCCGCGUGAGUGAUGAAGGCCUUAGGGUUGUAAAGCUCUUUUGCCCGGGAUGAUAAUGACAGUACCGGGAGAAUAAGCUCCGGCUAACUCCGUGCCAGCAGCCGCGGUAAUACGGAGGGAGCUAGCGUUGUUCGGAAUUACUGGGCGUAAAGCGCACGUAGGCGGCUUUGUAAGUCAGAGGUGAAAGCCUGGAGCUCAACUCCAGAACUGCCUUUGAGACUGCAUCUCUCGAAUCCGGGAGAGGUGAGUGGAAUUCCGAGUGUAGAGGUGAAAUUCGUAGAUAUUCGGAAGAACACCAGUGGCGAAGGCGGCUCACUGGACCGGCAUUGACGCUGAGGUGCGAAAGCGUGGGGAGCAAA